CUGGCCACAGGCCUGUGAUUUUAAUUGGUGUUGAAUGAAGUAAAUGUUGUAGAAAAUCUGUCCCCUUAAAAUGUGUUUAUCCUGAAGUAUUUAAAUAAUGUGGAGGUUAAAGUCUUUCUAUGAUAUGAUGCUGCAUUAGAAAAGAGCAGCAAUAGUUAGUGAGUGAAAUAUAAUCUUAUUCAGCAGGAGAACAAUUUGCUGUUUUCUUAACUGUCUCCACCUUGUUUUGUCUUAAAUCCUACGAUGUGAUCACAAAAGGGUUUCUAUAAAAAGGCAGAUGGUGAACAGCUUAUGGUCCCCCCCCCCCCCCCCGUUCACAAUUCUUCCUUGCAGAAUUUUGAAAUUUUUAAUUGUGGUUAAUUGUUGUCCUUCAGUUUCUGAUUUUAAUUCUUAUGGUUUUGUUUGAUUCAUUUAAACUCUGUUCACAAUUCUUCCCCACAGUUUGGAUUUUGUUGUAAACAGACUAGGUGGUUGGAAAAUAAAAUUCACCCAAACUGCU